GGGCCAGGCGGGGCGGGGCCUUGGGCGGCUGCGGUCUGCGCGGACCCCCGUGCCUAGGCGCUCCUGUGCCUCCAGUGCGCGGAGCCGGCCUCGCUCGGGCGUGUUCCUGCGCCGACCGGACGGCCGGACUCCAGCACCUUGGCCCGGCCCGCGAACGCUGAGCACGCGCGGAAACCCUUUAAAGAUAGGAAGUGAAAUCAAAUGGAGGUUGGUGAGUACCCCACGGCAACCAUUGCUUCGUUUCAUGGUUCAGAGUGAACUCUAAUCUGGAAGCCUUCCUUAGGUCAUUCCUGCUUCUGGGAUCCAACUCUAUGUUGUGCUUAAGAAAUGUGUCACAUCAGACAGAGUGAAUCACAAGACAGAGAUAUUUACCUAUCACAUAAAUAUUUUAUUAGAUUUCAAGAAUGAAGAGGAACAGUUUAUCUGUUGAGAAUAAAAUUGUCCAGUUGUCAGGAGCAGCGAAACAGCCAAAAGUUGGGUUCUACUCUUCUCUCAACCAGACUCAUACACACACGGUUCUUCUAGACUGGGGGAGUUUGCCUCACCAUGUAGUAUUACAAAUUUUUCAGUAACUUCCUUUACUAGAUCGGGCCUGUGCAUCUUCUGUAUGUAGGAGGUGGAAUGAAGUUUUUCAUAUUUCUGACCUUUGGAGAAAGUUUGAAUUUGAACUGAACCAGUCAGCUACUUCAUCUUUUAAGUCCACUCAUCCUGAUCUCAUUCAGCAGAUCAUUAAAAAGCAUUUUGCUCAUCUUCAGUAUGUCAGCUUUAAGGUUGACAGUAGCGCUGAGUCAGCAGAAGCUGCCUGUGAUAUACUCUCUCAGCUGGUAAAUUGUUCCAUCCAGACCUUGGGCUUGAUUUCAACAGCCAAGCCAAGUUUCAUGAAUGUGUCGGAGUCUCAUUUUGUGUCAGCACUUACAGUUGUUUUUAUCAACUCAAAAUCAUUAUCAUCAAUCAAAAUUGAAGAUACACCAGUGGAUGAUCCUUCAUUGAAGAUUCUUGUGGCCAAUAAUAGUGACACUCUAAGACUCCCAAAGAUGAGUAGCUGUCCUCAUGUUUCAUCUGAUGAUGGGUUACAUUUUUUAAAGCUAGAAUGAUAUGAUAUUUUUAUUACAAUAACUAUAAAGAUGCAAUUUCCUUUUGAAAAUUAUAUACCUAUGAAGCAUAAAUUAUUUAAGUUUUUUCAAAAGAUUUCUUAAUCUGCAAGGUAGGUAUAGUUAUAGUAAGUUUCUCCUGAGAUAUUUUAAUUUUACAUAUAUACAUAUGCUUUUCAUUAUAUACAUAAUACCUCCUGGCAGCCAUGCUCUCAGAAGUUGUUAUUAGAUAGCUAUUUUCACAAAUAAUGAAUAAUUAAUAUUAAAUUUAAAUUUACAAAAUAUUAUAUUAGGAUCAGUAUGAUUCUUUGUUCUUGAGAAUUUUUCCCAACUUCCCACAGGAAUUCUUUGUGUAGCUGACCGUUGUCAAGGCCUUAGAGAACUGGCGUUGAAUUAUUACAUCCUAACUGAUGAACUUUUCCUUGCACUCUCAAGCGAGACUCAUGUUAACCUUGAACAUCUUCGAAUUGAUGUUGUGAGUGAAAAUCCUGGACAGAUUAAAUUUCAUGCUGUUAAAAAACACAGUUGGGAUGCACUUAUUAAACAUUCCCCUAGAGUUAAUGUUGUUAUGCACUUCUUUCUAUAUGAAGAGGAAUUCGAGACGUUCUUCAAAGAAGAAACCCCUGUUACUCACCUUUAUUUUGGUCGUUCAGUCAGCAAAGUGGUUUUAGGACGGGUAGGUCUCAACUGUCCUCGACUGAUUGAGUUAGUGGUGUGUGCUAAUGAUCUUCAGCCUCUUGAUAAUGAACUUAUUUGUAUUGCUGAACACUGUACAAACCUAACAGCCUUGGGCCUCAGCAAAUGUGAAGUUAGCUGCAGUGCCUUCAUCAGGUUUGUAAGACUGUGUGAGAGAAGGUUAACACAGCUCUCUGUAAUGGAGGAAGUUUUGAUCCCUGAUGAGGAUUAUAGCCUAGAUGAAAUUCACACUGAAGUCUCCAAAUACCUGGGAAGAGUAUGGUUCCCUGAUGUGAUGCCUCUCUGGUAAUGGGCUGCCAAAGAUUCUGAAAUUGUUGUUGUUGUUUUUUUAAUCAGUAUGAUUAGCUGCUUUCUAUCUAAGCAAAUGUAAAUUUUAAAAUGUGUUGCUGCUGUAUUUUAGGUCAAAUAUUUGAUUGUUUGCAAACUGUCGUGAUGGAUUGCUGCAGAAACAUUUGGAAAAAAAUAAGAAAUUUGAAAAGCAAGAAAUUGCUGUAAAUAGGGCACAAGCCCUGUAUAUGGAUUAGAUGGUCGAUAUGCCAAAAACUACAGAUGGUUUCUAAGUAGAUUUCUCACCUUUCCUUGGAGGCAUAUUGUAGCUUGCUAAGUAAGUGUGU